rnacentral:lncRNA from 1 species
ACGUACAUUUACUUCCGGUCAUUUAUUUUUGUGUUUUUAUCAGUUAGCCCUUGCUGUGUAACAAAUCACCCCCAAACCCAGUAGUAUAAAAUGAUCAGCCUUUAUUACUGCUCACAAGCUGAUAGGUCAGUUCUCUGGACUCGGCUGGACUCGCUCGUGCAUCUGUGGUCAGCAGUGGGUGACACAGGAGGCUCUGCGGAUCUUGGCUGGGCUGGCUCACUUCUCUGGAGCCUUGUCUGGGACUGCUCAGCUCUGGUCCACGUGGUCCCUCAUCCUCCAGCGGCUGGUUGGAAUCGUUUGCACGGGUGGCAGGGUUCUGAGAGAAGGCAGAAGCACAGAAGCCUCUUGAGGUCUAAGCUGGGACUGGGCAACCCUCCGUGCUGUAGGUGAAAGAGGAAGACAGCUCACAGUGAAAGUGAUGAUCAGGGGAGGCAGAGCAGGCUGGCAGAGCACCCACUCCAGCUACGGGAAGACGUGUGAAGAGCGAGGAAGUCUUCCUGGAGGAGGUGUUGUCUCCCUAGCAUUGUCCAGUCUGGAUGUGGUUGCUCCAGGCACCCAUGGGGGAACAACGUGCUAAAGCUUGAGGCUUGAGAGGGCGGCCUGGAAUGAUGACCCCCAUCCUGGGGCUUCACGGACGAUGGGCGGAUCCUGUUCCCCUUGGAGAAGCGCUGUGUAAACUGUGGAGUAAUCCUGCUAGCCUU